rnacentral:rRNA from 1 species
GUGAGGAAUAUUGGUCAAUGGGCGAGAGCCUGAACCAGCCAAGUCGCGUGAAGGAUGAAGGUUUUAUGAAUUGUAAACUUCUUUUGCAGGGGAAUAAAGUACGGUACGUGUACCGUUUUGUAUGUACUCUGCGAAUAAGGAUCGGCUAACUCCGUGCCAGCAGCCGCGGUAAUACGGAGGAUCCAAGCGUUAUCCGGAUUUAUUGGGUUUAAAGGGUGCGCAGGCGGGUUGAUAAGUCAGCGGUGAAAGUUUGCAGCUUAACUGUAAAAUUGCCGUUGAAACUGUCGAUCUUGAGUGCAAAUGAGGUAAGCGGAAUGUGUUGUGUAGCGGUGAAAUGCUUAGAUAUAACACAGAACACCGAUUGCGAAGGCAGCUUACUGGGAAGCAACUGACGCUCAUGCACGAAAGCGUGGGGAUCAAACAGGAUUAGAUACCCGUGUAGUCC